GGGGCUAUAGCUCAGCCGGUUAGAGCGCAUCCCUGAUAAGGAUGAGGUCGCUGGUUCGAUUCCAGCUAGCCCCACCA
rnacentral:tRNA from 1 species